AUGGCUGUCGUCAGCUCGUGUCGUGAGAUGUUGGGUUAAGUCCCGCAACGAGCGCAACCCUUAUUUCAUGUUGCCAGCGCGUAAUGGCGGGGACUCGUGAGAGACUGCCGGGGUCAACUCGGAGGAAGGUGGGGAUGACGUCAAGUCAUCAUGCCCCUUAUGUCCAGGGCUUCACACAUGCUACAAUGGCCGGUACAAAGGGCUGCGAUGCCGCGAGGCUUAGCGAAUCCUUUAAAGCCGGUCUCAGUUCGGAUCGGGGUCUGCAACUCGACCCCGUGAAGUCGGAGUCGCUAGUAAUCGCAGAUCAGCAACGCUGCGGUGAAUACGUUCCCGGGCCUUGUACACACCGCCCGUCACACCACGAAAGUCGGCAAUACCCGAAGCCGGUGGCCUAACCCGUAAGGGAGGGAGCCGUCGAAGGUAGGGUUGAUGAUUGGGGUGAAGUCGUAACAAGGUAGCCGUAGCGGAAGCUGCGGCUGGAUCACCUCCUUUCUAGGGAUACCGGAGCAUUAGCGUCCGGUAGGCGCUCGGCCAGUAGAUGGCAACAGCCGUCCUGUUCCCGAGUUCGCCUAGAAUCACGUCGACCUCGACGAACGCUGCUGAGUUUUGAGAGACCGGUGCGACUCUGGUUCAUUCAGAGCAACGCAACCGGUAUUUCUCGGUUGGGCGGAUUGGUUUCCGCGCGCACCUUGAAAACUCCAUAGCAGUAACUAGCGAGUUCUUCACGAUCAAGAGAAUAAGAGCACACGGUGGAUGCCUUGGCGCCAAGAGCCGAAGAAGGACGUGGGCGGCUGCGAUAAGCUCGGGUGAGGUGCUGACCAACCUUUGACCCCGAGAUCUCCGAAUGGGGAAACCCGG
rnacentral:sRNA from 1 species